rnacentral:tRNA from 1 species
GGGGAUUUAGCUCAGUGGUAGAGCGCUUGCCUAGCAAGUGCAAGGACCUGGGUUCAGUCCCCA